UACGUAGGGGGCAAGCGUUGUCCGGAUUUAUUGGGCGUAAAGAGCGUGUAGGCGGCCAGACAGGUCCGUUGUGAAAACUCGAGGCUCAACCUCGAGACGUCGACGGAAACCGUCUGGCUAGAGUCCGGAAGAGGAGUGUGGAAUUCCAGGUGUAGCGGUGAAAUGCGUAGAUAUCUGGAGGAACACCGGUGGCGAAGGCGGCAUCCUGGACCGGUAUUGACGCUGAUGCGCGAAAGCCAGGGGAGCAAACGGG
rnacentral:rRNA from 1 species